rnacentral:rRNA from 1 species
GACGAACGCUGGCGGCGUGCUUAACACAUGCAAGUCGAACGGAAAGGCCCUGCUUUUGUGGGGUGCUCGAGUGGCGAACGGGUGAGUAACACGUGAGUAACCUGCCCUUGACUUUGGGAUAACUUCAGGAAACUGGGGCUAAUACCGGAUAGGAGCUCCUGCUGCAUGGUGGGGGUUGGAAAGUUUCGGCGGUUGGGGAUGGACUCGCGGCUUAUCAGCUUGUUGGUGGGGUAGUGGCUUACCAAGGCUUUGACGGGUAGCCGGCCUGAGAGGGUGACCGGCCACAUUGGGACUGAGAUACGGCCCAGACUCCUACGGGAGGCAGCAGUGGGGAAUAUUGCACAAUGGGCGGAAGCCUGAUGCAGCAACGCCGCGUGCGGGAUGACGGCCUUCGGGUUGUAAACCGCUUUCGACUGUGACGAAGCGUGAGUGACGGUAAUGGAUAAAGAAGCACCGGCUAACUACGUG